AAAUGUAAUGCUCUUUUAGUAUUUCUCUAGUAGGUUUCUUCAAGGAGAAAGCCUCC
rnacentral:snRNA from 1 species